rnacentral:rRNA from 1 species
UCUGGAAACUNUCUGACUUGAGUGCAGAAGGGGAGAGUGGAAUUCCAUGUGUAGCGGUGAAAUGCGUAGAUAUAUGGAGGAACACCAGUGGCGAAAGCGGCUCUCUGGUCUGUCACUGACGCUGAGGCUCGAAAGCGUGGGUAGCGAACAGGAUUAGAUACCCUGGUAGUCCACGCCGUAAACGAUGAGUGCUAGGUGUUAGGCCCUUUCCGGGGCUUAGUGCCGGAGCUAACGCAAUAAGCACUCCGCCUGGGGAGUACGACCGCAAGGUUGAAACUCAAAGGAAUUGACGGGGGCCCGCACAAGCGGUGGAGCAUGUGGUUUAAUUCGAAGCAACGCGAAGAACCUUACCAGGUCUUGACAUCCCGAUGCUAUUCUUAGAGAUAGGAAGUUACUUCGGUACAUCGGAGACAGGUGGUGCAUGGUUGUCGUCAGCUCGUGUCGUGAGAUGUUGGGUUGAGUCCCGCAACGAGCGCAACCCUUAUUGUUAGUUGCCAUCAUUAAGUUGGGCACUCUAGCGAGACUGCCGGUAAUAAACCGGAGGAAGGUGGGGAUGACGUCAAAUCAUCAUGCCCCUUAUGACCUGGGCUACACACGUGCUACAAUGGUCGGUACAACGAGUUGCGAGCCGGUGACGGCAAGCUAAUCUCUGAAAGCCGAUCUCAGUUCGGAUUGGAGGCUGCAACUCGCCUCCAUGAAGUCGGGAUCGCUAGUAAUCGCGGAUCAGCACGCUGCGGUGAAUACGUUCCCGGGCCUUGUACACACCGCCCGUCACACCACGAGAGUUUGUAACACCCGAAGUCGGUGAGGUANCCUUUUAGGG